rnacentral:rRNA from 1 species
UACGUAGGUGGCAAGCGUUGUCCGGAUUUACUGGGUGUAAAGGGCGUGUAGCCGGGCUGACAAGUCAGAUGUGAAAUCCGGGGGCUCAACCCCCGAACUGCAUUUGAAACUGUUGGUCUUGAGUAUCGGAGAGGCAGGCGGAAUUCCUAGUGUAGCGGUGAAAUGCGUAGAUAUUAGGAGGAACACCAGUGGCGAAGGCGGCCUGCUGGACGACAACUGACGGUGAGGCACGAAAGCGUGGGGAGCAAACAGG